CAUAAAAAAAUUUCAAGCAAAUUACGACUCUAUUUCUCUCUGCCUCCUCCAACCCUUGUAACUUGUGAAACUACCAGAGGUAGCCAAAACUACUUGUCCAUCAAGACCGGGAACGACAACCCCUCGCCUGAACAGCCGCCAUCACCUUCACAAAACCUUAUCUGAACAGAAGCAGCCAACGGGAACAACGUCAACGUUUUAAAAUAUUAUUUUGAGUUGCAUGAAUACCCAAUUAACAAUCAGAGGAAGCAGUAAUUAAUUAAUUUAAUAAGUAGGAGGAAGAUGAAAGGAGGAAGGAAGAAUAUGAAGAGAGCAGCAGUAGCAGAGGAACACAAUUUAAGUCUUGAAGAUGGGCAAAGCAUCAUGCAAGUUGUUUCUCUGAGGGGUUCCAAUCUAAUUGAGGUAAUGGAUGCAAGAGGUGGGAAGUCACUUGCUUUGUUUCCGGCUAAAUUUCAGAAGAGUAUGUGGAUAAAAAAAGGAAGUUUUGUCGUGGUUGAUGAAAGUGGUAAGGAAAAGGCUUUGGAAUCAGGCAGCAAAGUGGCAUGUAUUGUUUCUCAAGUUCUCUUUUAUGAACAUGUCCGUGUGCUUCAGAGAUCUCCUGAAUGGCCAGAGAUUUUCAAAUCUACAGCUCCGGAUGAUUCUAGUGGAAGUCUGAAUAUAACCAAUGGCCAACUUGAAGAGAAUGAGCUUGAAUCAAGUGAUGAUGAUGGGCUUCCUCCAUUAGAAGCAAAUAUGAACAGAAUCAAGCCACCAGAAUGGGAACAAUCUGAUACAGAGUUCAAUUCAGGAUCAGAUACGGAUUCUUAACUUCAUGACAUAUGAAACCCUUGCAGCGAUAGGUUCUUGUCCAACAUUACAUUACAUUAAAUGCUGAUGAAGAAAAAUUUGUAUUAUGAUGCUCAACAUUAAGCACGUGAACUGAGCUGAGACUCGCAGCCUUACCCGAGUCCAACUACUUUUCCAUGUGAACAAUCUUUGC